rnacentral:rRNA from 1 species
UACAGAGGGUGCAAGCGUUAAUCGGAAUUACUGGGCGUAAAGCGUGCGUAGACGGUUAUUUAAGUCAGGUGUGAAAGCCCCGGGCUCAACCUGGGAAUUGCAUUUGACGACUGAAUAGCUAGGGUGCGGAAGAGGGAAGCGGAAUUUCCGGUGUGAAGCGGUGAAAUGACGUAGAGUAUACGGAAGGAACACCAGUGGCGAAAGCGGCUUCCUGGUCCAGCACCGACGUCAGGCA